ACAAAAACUAUUUUAUUGAUUUGAAAAAAAAGAACUACGAAUGUUUCAGUGUGUGCGCCAAGCGACAUUGAGAACAGCAAAAUGCAAUAGAAUAAACAUGGAAUGCAUUUUGGCCCUGCGUGUGUGAGUGCGUGAUUGCAGAAUACACCACAUCAUCAGCCGCUUCACGCACUAUGUAGCCCCACCAUCACGGUCACCCAACCACCACCCAACCGCCAUGCAGUCCACCCACCCACCUGCUACUCAACCCAUUCACAAACCAUUGAACAAAAUGCCCAAUUUGGUCAACGUCAACGUUUUGAAGCGACUACUGGCCAAAGGCAACAGCACAUUG
ensembl:ncRNA lncRNA:CR44765 long non-coding RNA:CR44765